rnacentral:rRNA from 1 species
UGGGGAAUAUUGCACAAUGGGGGAAACCCUGAUGCAGCGACGCCGCGUGAGCGAAGAAGGCUUUCGUGUCGUAUAGCUCUGUCCUAUGAGAAGAUAAUGACGGUAUCAUAGGAGGACGCCCUGGCUAAAUACGUGCCAGCAGCCGCGGUAAUUCGUAUGGGGCGAGCGUUGUCCGGAAUUAUUGGGCGUAAAGGGUACGUAGGCGGUAUUUUAAGUCAGGUGUCAAAGCGUGGAGCUGAACUCCAUUAAGCACUUGAAACUGAAAGACUUGAGUGAAGGAGAGGAAAGUGGAAUUCAUAGUGUAGCGGUGAGAUGCGUAGAUAUUAGGGGGAAUACCGAUGACGAAGGCGGCUUUCUGGACUUUUACUGACGCUCAGGUACGAAAGCGUGAGGAGCAAACAGG